GUGUUACAGCUCUUCCUGGGUUUCAGAUAACCCUCCUUCCGCCACUCCAGAAGAACUCGGAGCUGCAACCCUUCAGACUCCCGCUUCCACCAGCAAACUUCAGGUCUUUUUAAAGAGCACAAGCUCCGGACGCGCAGGCUCAGCAGCCAUGGCUCACAGACCCAGCCGCUCCGUGGCAUGUGGGAUCCUCCCGGACCGAGGCACGAACCCGUGUCCCCUGCAUCGGCAGGCGGACUCUCAACCACCGCGCCACCAGGGAAGCCCAUCCUGCUUCUUAAGUAUGCGGACCUCUCACCAUUGUGGCCUCUCCCAUUGUGGAGCACAGGCUCCGGACGUGCAGGCUCAGUGGCCAUGGCUCGUGUGCCCAGCUGCUCUGCGGCAUGUGGGAUCUUCCCAGACCGGGGCACAAACCCGUGUCCCCUGCAUCAGCAGGCGGACUCUCAACCACUGCACCACCAGGGAAGCCCUCACAACUUUUAUUCAUCCUGGUAUUGGAAAUUUUAGCUAGAGCAA